rnacentral:rRNA from 1 species
GCUGGCGACCGGCGCACGGGUGAGUAACACGUAUCCAACCUGCCGAUAACUCGGGGAUAGCCUUUCGAAAGAAAGAUUAAUACCCGAUGGCAUAAUUAGACCGCAUGGUUUGAUUAUUAAAGAAUUUCGGUUAUCGAUGGGGAUGCGUUCCAUUAGGCAGUUGGUGAGGUAACGGCUCACCAAACCUUCGAUGGAUAGGGGUUCUGAGAGGAAGGUCCCCCACAUUGGAACUGAGACACGGUCCAA